rnacentral:rRNA from 1 species
UCAUAAGCAACGAAGAGCAACUGGCGGAUGCCUUGGCUCUUGAUGGCGAUGAAGGACGUGAUAAGCUGCGAUAAGCUAUGCUGAGGUGCAAAUGACCUUUGAAGCGUAGAUUUCCGAAUGGGGUAACCUGGCUUCGGCCGCCCAGCGCAAACCCGGAGAACUGAAACAUCUAAGUACCCGGAGGAAUAGAAAAUAAUUAAUGAUUCCCUUAGUAGCGGCGAGCGAACGGGGAACAGCCCAAACCAACAUUGUUUCGGCAUUGUUGGGGUUGUAGGACCUACGUGAUCCAGUCAGAAUGUCUGCAGAACCACUUGGAAAGGUGGACCAUAGGGGGUGAUAGUCCCGUAUGCAGGUUGAAUGGCGGUGGUGGGUAUCCUGAGUAGCGCGGAACAUGUGAAAUUCUGUGUGAAUCUGCCGGAACCAUCCGGUAAGGCUAAAUACAUCAAGAGACCGAUAGUGAACCAGUACCGUGAGGGAAAGGUGAAAAGUACCCUGAACAAGGGAGUGAAAUAGAACCUGAAACCAGUUGUUUACAAGCGGUCGGAGCCUUCGGGCGACGGCGUGCCUUUUGCAUAAUGAUCCUACGAGUUACUCCUCUCUGGCAAGGAUAAGGCCUUCAGGGCCGCAUCCGAAGCGAAAGCAAGUCUUAAAUAGGCGCAUAGUCAGGGGGGGUAGACGCGAACCCUGGUGAUCUACCCAUGGUCAGGUUGAAGCUUCGGUAAAACGAAGUGGAGGACCGAACCCGUAUACGUUGAAAAGUGUUGGGAUGAACUGUGGGUAGGGGUGAAAGGCCAAUCAAACCGGGAAAUAGCUCGUUCUCCCCGAAAUGCAUUUAGGUGCAGCCUCGGAAUUGAGUGUCAUAGAGGUAGAGCUACUGAUUAGACUAGGGGGCUUCACCGCCUACCAAAUCUUGAUAAACUCCGAAUGCUAUGACAUAUAUCCGGGAGUGAGGGCAUGGGUGCUAAGGUCCAUGUCCGAGAGGGAAAGAACCCAGACUAUCCGUUAAGGUCCCCAAGUGUGUGCUAAGUUGAUUUAACGUGGUGCGAUUGCAUUGACAGCUAGGAUGUUGGCUUGGAAGCAGCCAUUCAUUUAACGAGUGCGUAACAGCUCACUAGUCGAGCGAUUGUGCGUGGAUGAUAAUCGGGCAUAAGCACAUCACCGAAGCGGUAGAUUUUAUGGUAGGGGAGCAUUCCAGUUGCACUGAAGGCGAAUCGUAAGAUUCUCUGGAGCGGCUGGAAAAGAAAAUGUAGGAAUGAGUAACGAUAAAGCAGGCGAGAAACCUGCUCACCGAUAGACUAAGGUUUCCUGAUCAACGCUAAUCGGAUCAGGGUUAGUCGGGACCUAAGGCGAACCCGAAGGGGGUAGUCGAUGGAAAGCUGGUUAAUAUUCCAGCACCUGUCCACACUAAAAGUGACGGAGAAUUGUAGUGGUUGCGUACUGACGGAAUAGUGCGCUGAGCCUAGCCUUCGGGCGAAGCGAAAUCAUGAAAGUUCUUCCAAGAAAAGCGAGUGGACGGCCCGUACCGCAAACCGACACAGGUAGUCAAGGAGAGAAUCCUAAGGUGCUCGAGUGAUUCAUGGUUAAGGAACUAGGCAAAUUAGUCUCGUAACUUCGGGAUAAGAGACGCUCUUCGGAGCCGCAGUGAAUAGGUCCAGGCGACUGUUUAUCAAAAACACAUGGCUUUGCAAAAUCGAAAGAUGACGUAUAAGGCCUGACACCUGCCCGGUGCUGGAAGGUUAAGAGGAGGAGUUAGCUUCGGCGAAGCUCUGAAUUGAAGCCCCAGUAAACGGCGGCCGUAACUAUAACGGUCCUAAGGUAGCGAAAUUCCUUGUCGGGUAAGUUCCGACCUGCACGAAUGGUGUAACGAUCUGGACACUGUCUCAACCAUGAGCUCGGUGAAAUUGUAGUAUCGGUGAAGAUGCCGAUUACCCGCAACGGGACGAAAAGACCCCGUGAACCUUUACUAUAGCUUUGCAUUGGAAUUGGUUAAUUAAUGUGUAGGAUAGGUGGGAGACUUCGAAGCUGCGUCGCUAGGCGUGGUGGAGUCAUUGUUGAAAUACCACCCUUUAAUUGAUUGGUUUCUAACCACAGGGACAUUGCAUGGUGGGUAGUUUGACUGGGGUGGUCGCCUCCAAAAUAGUAACGGAGGCUUCUAAAGGUGCGCUCAGUACGGUUGGUAAUCGUACGCAGAGUGUAAUGGCACAAGCGCGCUUGACUGUGAGACUUACAAGUCGACCAGGUACGAAAGUAGAGCAUAGUGAUCCGGUGGUUCCGCAUGGAAGGGCCAUCGCUCAAAGGAUAAAAGGUACUCCGGGGAUAACAGGCUGAUCACUCCCAAGAGCUCACAUCGACGGAGUGGUUUGGCACCUCGAUGUCGGCUCGUCACAUCCUGGGGCUGGAGAAGGUCCCAAGGGUUGGGCUGUUCGCCCAUUAAAGUGGCACGCGAGCUGGGUUCAGAACGUCGUGAGACAGUUCGGUCUCUAUCUGUUGUGGGCGCUCGAGAUUUGAGCGGACCCGUCCCUAGUACGAGAGGACCGGGAUGGACGUACCUCUGGUGUAUCUGUUGUGGCGCCAGCUGCAUUGCAGAGUAGCUAUGUACGGAUGAGAUAAGCACUGAAAGCAUCUAAGUGCGAAACUCGCCGCGAGAUGAGAUCUCGUUGAGAGCCGUGGAAGACGACCACGUUGAUAGGCCGCAGGUGUAAAGAUGGUGACAUCAAAGCCGAGCGGUACUAAUUGCUCAAAAGCUUAUGAAG